rnacentral:rRNA from 1 species
UGGGGAAUUUUGGACAAUGGGGGAAACCCUGAUCCAGCCAUCCCGCGUGUGCGAUGAAGGCCUUCGGGUUGUAAAGCACUUUUGGCAGGAAAGAAACGUCGCGGGUUAAUACCCCGCGAAACUGACGGUACCUGCAGAAUAAGCACCGGCUAACUACGUGCCAGCAGCCGCGGUAAUACGUAGGGUGCAAGCGUGAAUCGGAAUUACUGGGCGUAAAGCGUGCGCAGGCGGUUCGGAAAGAAAGAUGUGAAAUCCCAGAGCUUAACUUUGGAGCUGCAUUUUUAACUACCGGGCUAGAGUGUGUCAGAGGGAGGUGGAAUUCCGCGUGUAGCAGUGAAAUGCGUAGAUAUGCGGAGGAACACCGAUGGCGAAGGCAGCCUCCUGGGAUAACACUGACGCUCAUGCACGAAAGCGUGGGGAGCAAACAGGAUUAGAUACCCUGGUAGUCCACGCCCUAAACGAUGUCAACUAGCUGUUGGGGCCUUCGGGCCUUGGUAGCGCAGCUAACGCGUGAAGUUGACCGCCUGGGGAGUACGGUCGCAAGAUUAAAACUCAAAGGAAUUGG